AGAGUUUGAUCCUGGCUCAGGACGAACGCUGGCGGCGUGCCUAAUACAUGCAAGUCGAGCGAAUCGAUGGGAGCUUGCUCCCUGAGAUUAGCGGCGGACGGGUGAGUAACACGUGGGCAACCUGCCUAUAAGACUGGGAUAACUUCGGGAAACCGGAGCUAAUACCGGAUACGUUCUUUUCUCGCAUGAGAGAAGAUGGAAAGACGGUUUACGCUGUCACUUAUAGAUGGGCCCGCGGCGCAUUAGCUAGUUGGUGAGGUAAUGGCUCACCAAGGCGACGAUGCGUAGCCGACCUGAGAGGGUGAUCGGCCACACUGGGACUGGGACACGGCCCAGACUCCUACGGGAGGCAGCAGUAGGGAAUCUUCCGCAAUGGACGAAAGUCUGACGGAGCAACGCCGCGUGAACGAAGAAGGCCUUCGGGUCGUAAAGUUCUGUUGUUAGGGAAGAACAAGUACCAGAGUAACUGCUGGUACCUUGACGGUACCUAACCAGAAAGCCACGGCUAACUACGUGCCAGCAGCCGCGGUAAUACGUAGGUGGCAAGCGUUGUCCGGAAUUAUUGGGCGUAAAGCGCGCGCAGGUGGUUCCUUAAGUCUGAUGUGAAAGCCCACGGCUCAACCGUGGAGGGUCAUUGGAAACUGGGGAACUUGAGUGCAGAAGAGGAAAGUGGAAUUCCAAGUGUAGCGGUGAAAUGCGUAGAGAUUUGGAGGAACACCAGUGGCGAAGGCGACUUUCUGGUCUGUAACUGACACUGAGGCGCGAAAGCGUGGAGAGCAAACAGGAUUAGAUACCCUGGUAGUCCACGCCGUAAACGAUGAGUGCUAAGUGUUAGAGGGUUUCCGCCCUUUAGUGCUGCAGCUAACGCAUUAAGCACUCCGCCUGGGGAGUACGGCCGCAAGGCUGAAACUCAAAGGAAUUGACGGGGGCCCGCACAAGCGGUGGAGCAUGUGGUUUAAUUCGAAGCAACGCGAAGAACCUUACCAGGUCUUGACAUCCUCUGACAACCCUAGAGAUAGGGCUUUCCCCUUCGGGGGACAGAGUGACAGGUGGUGCAUGGUUGUCGUCAGCUCGUGUCGUGAGAUGUUGGGUUAAGUCCCGCAACGAGCGCAACCCUUGAUCUUAGUUGCCAGCAUUCAGUUGGGCACUCUAAGGUGACUGCCGGUGACAAACCGGAGGAAGGUGGGGAUGACGUCAAAUCAUCAUGCCCCUUAUGACCUGGGCUACACACGUGCUACAAUGGAUGGUACAAAGGGCUGCAAACCUGCGAAGGUAAGCGAAUCCCAUAAAGCCAUUCUCAGUUCGGAUUGCAGGCUGCAACUCGCCUGCAUGAAGCCGGAAUCGCUAGUAAUCGCGGAUCAGCAUGCCGCGGUGAAUACGUUCCCGGGUCUUGUACACACGC
rnacentral:rRNA from 3 species